rnacentral:rRNA from 1 species
CGUGAGACAGUUCGGUCCCUAUCUGCCGUGGGCGUUGGAGAAUUGAGGGAAGCUGCUCCUAGUACGAGAGGACCGGAGUGGACGAACCUCUGGUGUUCCGGUUGUCACGCCAGUGGCAUUGCCGGGUAGCUACGUUCGGAAGGGAUAACCGCUGAAAGCAUCUAAGCGGGAAGCCUCCCUCAAGAUGAGAUCUCACUAAUCUAGCGAUUCUAAAGGACCCUCGAAGACUACGAGGUUGAUAGGCAGGGUGUGUAAGCGCUGUGAGGCGUUGAGCUAACCUGUACUAAUUGUCCGUGAGGCUUGACCAU